GAUGAACGCUGGCGGCGUGCCUAAUACAUGCAAGUCGAGCGAACAGAUGAGGAGCUUGCUCCUCUGACGUUAACGGCGUACGGGUGAGUAACACGUGGAUAACCUACCUAUAAGACUGGGAUAACUUCGGGAAACCGGAGCUAAUACCGGAUAAUAUAUUGAACCGCAUGGUUCAAUAGUUAAAGACGGUUUUGCUGUCACUUAUAGAUGUAUCCGCGCCGCAUUAGCUAGUUGGUAAGGUAACGGCUUACCAAGGCAACGAUGCGUAGCCGACCUGAGAGGGUGAUCGGCCACACAGGAACUGAGACACGGUCCAGACACCUACGGGAGGCAGCAGUAGGGACUCUUCCGCAAUGGGCGAAGGCCUGACGGAGCAACGCCGCGUGAGUGAUGAAGGUCUUCGGAUCGUAAAACUCUGUUAUUAGGGAAGAACAAAUGUGUAAGUAACUAUGCACGUCUUGACGGUACCUAAUCAGAAAGCAACGGCUAACUACGUG
rnacentral:rRNA from 1 species